rnacentral:miRNA from 14 species
AUGCAUGUAUGUAUGCAUGUAUGUAUGCAUGCAUGUAUGCAUGCAUGUGUGCAUGCAUGUGUGUAUG